GUUGAUGGGGGCAGCCUGAUCCAGCCAUGCCGCGUGUGUGAUGAAGGCCUUCGGGUUGUAAAGCACUUUUGGCUGGGAAGAAGGGGUUUGCGCUAAUACCUGGAUGUUUUGACGGUACCUGCAGAAUAAGCCCCGGCUAACUCCGUGCCAGCAGCCGCGGUAAUACUUAGGGUGCAAGCGUUAAUCGGAAUUACUGGGCGUAAAGCGUGCGCAGGCGGUUAUAUAAGACCGAUGUGAAAUCCCCGGGCUCAACCUGGGAACUGCAUUGGAGACUGUAUAGCUAGAGUGUGGCAGAGGGGGGUGGAAUUCCCUGUGUAGCGGUGAAAUGCGUAAAGAUGUGAAGGAACACCGAUGGCGAAGGCGACCCCCUGGAAUGAUACUGACCCUCAUGCACGAAAGCGUGGGGAGCAAACAGGAUUAGAUACCCUGGUAGUCCACGCCCUAAACGAUGUCUACUAGUUGUUGGAAGGAUAACCUCUUAAUAGCCGCCUAACCCCAGAAGUAUACCGCCUGGGGAGUACCGGCCCCACAGUAAAACUCAAAUGAAUUGACGG
rnacentral:rRNA from 1 species